rnacentral:snRNA from 1 species
AUCAUUGUAAAUACUGUAUCUAAGUGCAUAAAAGUUCGACUAGUUGGAAUUUCAAUUGCUACUACUUUUUUAAACGUCGCCUGCGGAUUUUCAAAAAUACGUCGCGCUAACUUUUCAAUAGCUUGUGCAGAUGUACGUUCUGAAACGCCUAUAGCCAAGACAUCUUUAGAUAAAACAAGUUCAUCGCCGCCUUCAAUAUUGAAUGGGCAAUCUCGAUCUAACCAGAUUGGAAUAUUCGCAUCUUUAAAUCUAGGAUGAUGCUUUACAAUAUAUUGAAUAAAUAUUGAUUCUCGUCGUCGUGCUCUCCAGAACAUCCGAUUGAUUGUUAUACCGUGUCCUAUUGAGGCUUGUGGAUCUCUAGUAAAAUAAAGGUUUGGCAUUGGAUCUAAAUAGAAUGGAUACUUAUCAUCCAUAUACUCUACUAGAUGUGUACAUUUCGGAUUAAUUUCUUCCUUACGUACCCCUGACAUUAUUUUAUCUACAAGUUCUUGAUUAGAAAGUGUCGCAAAUAAUGCCUUAAUUUCUUCUUCAUGACCUAAUAUUGUUUUUUUAGACUCUGCUAAUA